CAUUUCAGCAGUGCACGGCGGUUGGGCGCGGGACUUAUUUUGCUGUAACGCCCGCUCCAGGCUUUUAUCACUUUUUCCCCUAGAGCUCAUCUAAAACCUAAGAUGGCGGCUUUCGUACUGAGAGGGUCUCCUUUAGACUUGGGACUUUCUCCAUGCUCUUGCAAAUGAAGUCAGUCCUUUUGGGAAGAAAUUAAGAGCUAUCUGUUUUAAUGUCUACUUCUUCGCUCAAACAAAAGCCUGGUCUCUGGUGAUGAGGCUGCUGUCUCUUUAAGGCCAGUGAUCCAGCUAUAGCUAGCCUUUGUGGUUUACCCAGUGCUGCAUCAGCCCACUUUUAAAGUUACAGGCUCCCAAGUCCUACUGAUUUUACACACUGACGGAAUUCAGCCCUUUUGGCUUCUGCUUUAAGAAAACCGAAAAAGAGAGGAGGAACUAAAACCCAGAGCAUAUAAGGAGAUAUUAGCAGAAAUCAAUGAAAUUGGAAACAAACACUGAAAAAAAAAUCACUUAAGCCAAAAGCUUCUUCCUUAUAGAGGUAUGAGUAGUAUUGAUAAAUUUGUUGCUGUGUAUGUGUGUGUGUUUGUUCAUCAAGGGAAAAAAAAUUCUCAAUGAACAAAUAAUAGGAAUUAAAGAGAGGCUGUCAGUGUGGACCUUGCAGAAUUUUAAAUAGGUGUAAAUAUGAAUAAUUCUGUGGCACAAAUAUGACAUGAAAUGAACCCUUUUUGAAAACUAUCAGAAGCUUGGGACACCUGGGUGGCUCAGCAGUUGAGUGUCUGCCUUUGGCUCAGGACAUCAUCCCAGAGUCCCAGGAUCAAGUCCCGCAUCAGGCUUCCUGCAUGGAGCCGGAUGUCUGCCUGUGUCUCUGCCUCUCUCCCCCUCUGUGUCUCUCAUGAAUAAAUAAAUAAAAUCUUAUUUAAAAAAAAAAAAAAGAAGCUUACCAGAAUUCACUGUAUAGGAAACAAACAUGACUAUUUCUGUCACUGUUAGAAAAUUAAAUUGAGCUACGUACUUUCCAACAAAAAUUCCUAACCAUAAUUGUUUCAUUGGUGGAUCUGAAAUAUCUAAGGAUGACGUAAUAGCAAUUUGCAAUAUCUUUUUCAUGAAGUAUAAGAGAAAGUUAUAUUUCAACUUCAUUUUAUGUGGCCAGCAUUACCCUGAUACCAAAAUCACAGAAAAGUAUCACAAAUAGAGACUGUAGAAUCAUAUUACUCAAGAACAUAGAAAUAAAAAUUCUCUAUUAAGUAUUAGCAAAUUGUAUUCAGGUUAAUACAUGAUAACAUUUGGUCUGGUUCAGAAUCGAAAGACUAAGUCAAUAUUUGGAAGUCAAAUCAUCAUACCCGCAAACUGAAAAGGAAAACAUAUCUCAAUAGAUGCAAAAAGAAAAGCAUUUGACAUUAUUUAAAUCUAUUCCUUAUAAAAAUUGUUAGCAAAUUUGGAAGAAGGCAACUUUAUUAAUGUGAUAAAUGUAAUCUUGUAAGCAUGGAUGAUUAUAUUAAUUAUUAAAGACCUUUCUAGGAAUAGAAAGUGAGCAAGUAUUUCAUAUUUUUUUUUUUUUUUUUUUUAGUAUUUCAGAUUUUACUACUACUAUUCCGCUUAGCACUGGAAGUUCUAUGCAGUUCCCUAAGGCAGGAAAAAGCAAUCAAAAGUAUAUAGUGUAUUUCUAAAUACUAGCCAUGUAUAUUUGAAAAUCAAAAUUUAAUUUACAGUAACUGUCCCCCCCAACCCAUGAAAUACAAGUAAGUCUUGAUUUGCAGAAUAUUAUGGGACUGUAAAAGUGACUGCUAGCUGAAACCAUGCAAAUCAAUGUUUAUUAAUUGAAAAAUAAUAAUUGUUCUGUAACCUGAAAAAUUGUGUCAAAAUAUUAAAAAUUCUUAUUGUCAAUUAUAAAUGAAAACGUUUAAAGAAUGUUUACUUUAUUGCAUGCAAUAAAGUAUAAACAUUAGAAUCAUUUAAAA